GAACCCAUGGCGCAGCGGUAGCGCGUGAGAUUCCAGAGUUUGGCGUCCUCAAGGUCAUCCGUUCGAUCCGGGUUGGGUUCA
rnacentral:tRNA from 1 species